rnacentral:lncRNA from 1 species
CAUGGAGCUCCUUUUAGUCCUCUUUCAUGUUCAUCAAGAAAUUCUUAGAAAGAAAAUGGGAGGAGAGAAGGAAAAGAAAUGAGAAGCCAAUAGGCUGUAGAUAAAAGGAAGAGAGACAGAGCAAGAGCAAGAGAGAGACUGUGGGAAAUGAAAGUCAGAGGAGAGGAAGCAGGAGAGAGGGCGAGAAGGGAAAGACAGGCAGAAAGGCAGAAAGACGGAUAGAGGCAAAGAAGGAAGAGGAAUGAAUGGAGAAAGGGGAAGGAAGCAGAAAGCAAUGAAUGAGAAAGGGAGCAGACAGAGAAGUAGGUGGAGAAAAUGAAAAAAUGGAGUGAAAGGAGAGAAGAAUUUUAAACAGAAUCUAUGGCUCCAUUUCCUCAGGCUGCUCAUUAGGAUUCUGGCAGCCUUUUCUGAAUAUCAGCUAGCUCUAACCUGAACAUCAAUUUGUCCAGAUUUGGGCUAGAAUUAAAUCUGCAACCUUAUUAGGUGCUAGCACAGUGUGGCUGGCUGUCCCACACCUCACACAAAGUAGUAGGGACUGAUAGGGACAGGAAGUCCCGUGUUCUCCUACACAAGCAGCAGGCCAAGAAUGGAAUCUUCAGCUCAUGACUGCUCAAAAAUAGGUACCUUAUUCACUCACACAGUUUGUUUUGUAUUUUUAACCAUUUCAUCAAAAGGUAAGGGUGGGGGGCCGGUUGUUUUUUAAUGAACCAAGAAUGAGGAUGAGAAAUUACUUAAUGGGUAUAACGUAUACUAUUCAGGUGACAGCCACACUAAAAGCCCAGACUCCACCACUACCCGAUAUACCCAUGUAACAAAACUGCAGUUUUGCCCCUUACAUUUAUACAAAUAAAAAACAGGCUGGGCACGGUGGCUCAUGUCUGUAAUCCCAGCACUUUGGGAGGCCAAGGCAGGUGAAUCGCUUGAGCUCAGGAGUUCAAGACCAGCCUGGGCAACAUGAUGAAACCCCAUCUCUACCAAAAACACAAAAAGUUAGCCAGGUGUACUGAGAGGCUAAGGUGGGAGGAUCACCUGAGCCUGUGAGGUCGAGGCUGCAGUGAGCUGUGAUCACACCACCACCACUCCAGCCUGGGUGACAGAGUGAGACCGUAUCUCAAAACCAACAACAACGAAGAAUGGGGAAAGGAUUUUAGACAUUUUUAUUUAGGGAUCUAAUAUUCCUGACUAAAUCCAAGGAUUCUCUCUGAAAGUCAGGGACAUUCUCUUCAGAAGGCGUGGUGUAAAGAGAUGGAUAGGUAGAAUCUCUUCCUAUAAUCCUCUUGCAGCUAAUUGCCAGACAAUUUACAUGAGCAUGUAUAACAGUAUCUGUAGAAAGUAAAUACAUGAUCCUGGAUAUUUGUGUACCAGAAGGGAGUGAAAUGCAUGGUUAAGAGCACAAAUUUUGGUAUCAAACAACCUGAGUUCAGUUCUCAGUUCUGCUUCUAAGUAUGGGAGUGAAUUUAGGGGCAUAAGGCCCAUGUUCUGGAAGAAUCUAGGAAGCAGCUGGAUGGGCAUUAAGGAAUUAAACUCUUGAAUGCCCCUUGA